AGACACGCCAGGUCGCGGGGAUGACCCGGCCGCUCGCGGCGGCCGCGGGGCGCCGGUUCAGCCGGCGUGGCAGCC
rnacentral:tRNA from 1 species